AAUUCGUGAUGUGGACAUAUGUUCAUGAUGUCCUUGAAUCUCUCCCAGCAAGCCUAGAAUGUCUCGUCACCUUUUUGCAUGAACUAACUGAUAUACUCCUGUAGGU